GACGACGACCUUGGGAUGAGACCCGGCAUGAGCACGGGUGUACUCGAGGUCAAACCCGGCCACCUUGUACUUCUCCUCGGCAAACAAUAGCUCCAUGAUGUGGAUGGAGUGCUCCACCCAGACCGGGUUGUUGGUUUACACCACCGAGAGCUCUAUGAACCUUUUGUGGGUGUCCACGACAACAUGCAUGGUGAACUGCUGCUCGUCGUCGGCAGCCGCUCGGAGCACCAUUGGAGCCUCGCAGGAUACCCUCUAAGAAUUUGUCGUGGUGGGUGUGCUUCUUGCAAUGGUGGGGCGUGAUCAAAAGGUUGAAGAGACACAAGGGUUAAAUGGCCGCUAUAAUAAAUGGGGGUCGGCCGGCCUGUAAUCGUCACGUCUUGUCACGACGUUCAUAGCGGAGGAUUCUAGUGCACACUUGACAAUACCGCACCGCACACAUUUCAUUUGACCAUGUGUGGGCUCGAAGAGGCGCCAAAUGUAUCAUCAGUGAGCCUGUUCCCGCGCUACCGCACAGUUUACCGCGCAAGCUUCCCGCACGGCUAGUUUGGCCACGCGUCGGCUAGAAGAGGGACAAAUCGUGGGCGUUUAUUGGCAAAAAGCUUUGUAAAAACGAAGUGUGUGGAAUGACUUCGGUCAUAAGUUUACCCGUGGGUGAUGAGGUAAAAGUUACACAGAAGGGUGAUGAUGGAAACACGAGUGCGAUGAUUAAUUCUACGCUCUACAGGGCACACGGUUGAAGAAACCAACUGUGUGCAAUAAUGUCGGAGAUCGCAAUCGAGUUAGCUAUACAGAUCAUGUGCUAUGAGAUCGACAGGGUAAACAGAUUCGAGAAUGGUUAAUAAAAUCUAAGACCAUUGCAUAUUAAGGUCAAAAUAGUGCUACCAAUAUACAAGUCUCAUACGAUGCCAUUUCAACGAUUUUACCACAAAAUCUCAAAAUAUUACAAGGUUCAAAUUCCAGAGUUAUAUGGCUCAAAUUCAAAGAUUACAAGGUUCAAACUGAUAUUAGAAAUGAAAUUCAGCUCAUUAGUUGCAAACGCUUGCGCUGAUCCGCUGAACAUGGAUAUCAGAGAGGUUCAAACUAAUAUUACCACUUCUAAGUCUGGUUUCGAAACCUCAUAAUUUUUGCAGAGGGGUCAGCCACUAAGAAGUCAUGUAUGGGGUUGACACGAUGACUUCCGAUUACUCUGUCAUCUGAAGUUCCAAAAUGAAAUUCAGCAUUUUUGGAGCCUAUUCCAUUUUGCCACAGCCGCCGGCGCUAAUCAACAAACCAUUCAUUUUUGCGAAAUAGAUGUAGGGCAAACCUCAUUAACUUCAGCACCCUUGCUCUGACAACAAAGAACCUGGUGAAUAUAAUCUCCGGUAAGGUCCCUUGGUAGGAGUUCAAAGUAAUUUCUGAGAGAUGCAGAUCUAGGCAUUCGACGUGAUUGUUAUAUUGUAUCACAUUAUCCACCACUGGGCCUAAUCUUAUCUGCAAAGGAAGAAAACGUGUUAGUGCCUACAUGCAGUUUUGAACACUACUGCAGGCCUAUUUGGUUUGCAGGAUUUGUAAAAUGCACUAACAUGCCAUCUUUGAUCUGACAUGAUUAACAUGGGCAUUUGAUUACAGUCUAGAAAAACGUAGCCUUCUUCACAAGAGGUUGGAGUGGAUGAAAAGUUCCCUAAGAAAACUAGUACACAUGAAUCUAAAGGAGAAAUGCUUAUGGAUUGUAACCAUAUGGAUCAAGCAACCAAUAUGGGGGGGAAACAUGUAUGUACUGAAAUCCUCCAAAAGAAUCCUUAAAAAAUCGUAGUACAUUGUCAUUGUAAACUUGGGAAAAGGUGUCACAAAUUAAACUCCCUUAUGGUUAACAUUUAACAAAAAAGGAACAUCACCUCGAUAUAUAGCUUCUCCAGGCACGGCAAGCAUCUCAGGAAACUGACAACUUGCUCCAGGUUGGGGCCGAUAGAUUCUAGUGCCAAGACCUUCACUGUGCGCAGUUUCGGGGUCAAGCUUGUCGGAAUCAUUUUCUGGAUGACAGACGAACAUACAUCUUCAAAAAUUGGAAAUAAUGUUAAUUUGUAGAAGGAAAGGUAGAAGGCGGUUGUUGUACCUGAACGGGUGUCGAUCCAAUAACAAGUUCGGAGUAUUUGUCAGACGAGUAGCCCACCACUGUCAAUUUCGGCGCAGAAAUGACAUUGAUUCUUGUUGGACCUUCUUGAUCAACUACAAGUAAUCUCUCAAGUGCAGGUGUGUCCUCAAUGACCAUACCAUGGUACACAUCUUGUGAUGUCUUCUUGCUGCACUAGCAACACACAUAAAUAGUCCAGAGAGUCAUGGAGGUGAUGUGGAAGCUACUCAACCCAUUGAUCGCCUGAAGACGAAGGUACUCGAGUGCAGUACAGCCACGGAGUAGGCGCUCCAUGUCACCAUUUGGGUGGCGGAAGGCGACGAGCUCGAGGUGCUUCAGUCGUGGUAGAAUAAGAGCGGGCGCGUCAUUUAGGGGGAUGGCAGUUCCUGAACUUGGCGACGCGUAACGUGGGCGUGAGGCGGAGCACGGACGUUGGCAGUGAGCGCAUAUGCCCAUCAUCAAAAGUGAGCUCCUCGAGCUGAUCUAGGGCGGGGGAUCGAAACCAGUAGUCAAGCUUGGCUCGGUCCUUGCCGUUGGAACGGAACUUGCCCAUUCUAAGGCCCCUGGUUGGGCCAAGGUGACUGUCGAGGAUCUUGGAGAACGCAUCCAAGCUUUUGCGAUAGCCAUGGCAGAGCUCGUGGGUGUCGAUGAGGUCGAGAGGGGUGGAGUUCCAUAGGGGGCGCCACCACCGGGAAAUGACGGUUGUCCGCGCCCCAUAUUUGAUUGGGAGGAGGGAGAUGAUGACUGUCAACAUAUCAUCGGGGAGGCUGAUGAUGAGGUCUAGGCAUGCUGGAGUCACUUGCGGUUCUUGCUCGCCCCGCCUCCGCUUGUUGUCAGCCCCGUACUCCACCUUUGGAGUCUCCUUGUCAGCGACGCUUUCUCAUAGAAGUGGGAGUACAGGGAAUAUUUAGUUAAAACAGGGCAACAGAAAAGUGUAUUGGUAACUAGAAGUUAUUAGGUAGGAAUAUAGUAAGAAAAUGGAAUAACAAUUGGUUGCUUAAAUACUACACAAUUCAUUUGAUAUUGCUAGGUAACUCAACAUGCAGAUACUUGAAAAGAAAACUUACUUUGAACAAAGUCUAGACCGAUGAUAUCAUCGGGGAAGUUAGCAUAUAUCUCAUGACCAGGCUCUUUUAUGUGCAGUGCAAUUUUAGUGCCAACUUUCAGUACAUAAAACUUAGAAAUUUCUUUCCAAAGGCCGGUGCCAAAAUAGGAGUCACCAUGUUCAUCAAGUCUUACAGUAGCAACGAUUGUAAUCCAUGGUUUGUGUUCAGUAUGACAUCCCUGCGGUCUUGAUUUUUGUAAAGGGAAAGAUUGUGCACUACAUAUUAUGUUGCAUAGCAAGGGACGCGCUGCAGAAAAUGAUAGGAUUGUUAAAAAAAUAUGGUAACAUGCAAAUAUGGGCCCAAAUUGAAAGAACUGUACAGCUGUUGAAAUCGAAGGACAAAAAUCUAUAAUUAAACAGAUAGGGUAAACAUGAUGUCAUGGAAAUAUGAGAGUAAUCGAAAGAACAAUACAUCAUUAAUUUGCCUAAUAUAGAAAGAAGAGGGGAAAAUUCCCCUUUGACGUAUAUGGUGCAUGUGGCACCUUUUAUCCAAAUGUAGCAAUUUUUAGUAUAUGUUCAGGAAAGUAGGCCAUGCCAACCGAUUUAGGGUGAGAUGGAACAUACCGCGCACAUCCUCAAGUCAUGUACGGUGAUACGGAACUCCAUUCCAAAUCAAUUGUCAGGUCCUGGCUAGGAAUUAUUAGCACGAACACUAACCCUAGUCGGAUUACUAGCAGAAAUGAUUUGCACAAAUGAAACAACUAAUCACUUAUCACUUGUACCAUUCAAAUAAUCAAUACACUACAUGGAUCUAACGAAACUUACUCAGAUUUCAUGGAUUGGGAGAACAAAAUCAUAGGAUUUCUAUUCCAAAAAGGGGGAGGCAGGAGUAACCAGAGAAACCCUAGGAUCUAUUUGACACAUAAAUGGGUAUAGAUGACUAACCAGUUGUCCGUCAUCGUCGGAGUCGUCGCAGUGGUCAUCGCCCGAGUCGUCACCGGAGUCAGUGUGGAACUCCGCCUCCGGCUGUGGAAGCUCGACGCCGUCGACGACGUCAGGGUGGAGCGAUAACUCACCGGCGGUGACGGCAACCUCUGUCUCCAUCUCCACACCGUGCUCCGGUGCUUCAGCAGCCCCGACGUCGCCACUCCCUCUGAUGGGGCGCUUCGGCGGCAUUCUCAUACACUGACGGCUUUGAGGACUGAGAACGGUGUUGGGGAUGCAGGCGGAGAGAGAGGAUUCUAUGUGUGGCGAGGAUGGUGGGUGCGGUCGCUCGGGCGCACCAUUAAUAUGGAGUGGUAGGAGAGAGGCGGGCGGCGGUCAAACCGCAGGCUCGCCUCCCGGUGAGCCUGCGUACCGGACUGCUGGCAUGCCUACUGUCGUUUCACACAGCUACUCGCACGCCUCCCGAUAACAUUGGGCAGCGAGCACGCCUCCGUCAAUUCACACACCUACACGCACGCCUCCUGGUCUACUUGCGCGGCGGACUGCGCACAUGCGUCCCAUCAACUCACGCCUGCUCGCAUGCGUCCCGUCAACUCAUGCCUGCUCGCACGGCACACAGGUCGCGUGGCGGCACAUAUAUUGUUUUUUUCUAUUUGGAUGAUUAAUGUUGCCGCUUUAUUGCUUAACCGAAGUAUGGCAUGUAUCCCUUGUGGGUCUAACGCUCACGGUUCAAAUAAAUAAUCCAUUUGGGAUAUUGGUUCCCAAUUAUUAAUAAUCUCCCGUUUGUAAUUAGAUAAAUAUUAUAUCAAAACUGCUCUCAAAUUUGACAAAAAAGUACAAUGCCACUUUGUAUUGGUGUCCAUAUGACAACACGAUAAGUUUCAUGAACUUCAGAUAAGUUUUGGAUGUACUAGAAUCUAAAAAUCAAGAUUCUCAAUGUUUGAAAUUUCUUGCACGGGGAGUAAACAUGCACCCAGUGAGACACAUGUGUUUUUGCAAUCCAUUUAGGUGCACUAUCACGUGUGCAUGUAGCUCAAAUUUGAUGUUUGCAAAUUAUACCAUAGAAAAUCAAUCAAUGUACUAAAACGUCUUAAUGAUCUCUGUUUUUUUCAAAAUUAAAACGUCCCUCCUUUGGUAACAUAUGUUCACCGCAGGAUAAUUUAACAUGCAUCGUAGUUGCGGUGGAUUCGCGGUGUGUGUGUGGGUGUGUGUGUCUGGGGGUGGCGGGUGGCUCGCAGUACACUACGAGUUGUGAGCCACCGUGUGGGUUGGCCGUUUUGUUAGGCAGGUGCCACAUCAGAGUCGUGAAUUCGUUAUUUAAAAUAUUACACAACCUUUUCAUACAUACAUGUUUUGGCCACAUGCAGUCGAUGGUUGUCCUACACGACAGUCGAUACCCGCGUGUGAUGCUUUCUGUGGGCCCACGAGGUCGUCGUCCAUCACUUUGACGAACAACCGACAGUGAGGUUAAUUUGACCAGCAAGGUAGAAUCUUUUUUGUUUGUGUUAUGGUGGGAGUAUAUGUAUAGUACUCGUCGAAGAGGUGGGAGGGACUAGCAUAUAUACUAUACGUACGCGUACGUGAACAAGUACACAUCACUCAGUGUUGCGACUUUUAGGUUUCCGAGGCACGUGCCACAUCAAAGUUGUGAAAUUGGCUAUUCAAACAUCACACAACACAUCUUUGGGCCACAUGCAUGCAGGCGGUGGUUAUCCUAGCUAGAACACUCACGUGUGACGCUUCCAUCUGUGGGCCCACGAGGCCAUCGUCGAUGCAUGCAUCACUUUGACCUACAUCGGGAGAGGUUAAUUAAUUUCACCAUCGAGGAGGAUUCGUUUUGGGUUGUAUUACGAUAGGAGCAUAUAGUAUGCGUCGAAGAGGGAGAAGGGGACCAUCAUAUGUAGUACGCUUCAUGAACCUCGCUCUGUGUGGGGGCUUUACAGUUUUUGAGGCAUGUGGCACAUCAAAGUUGUGCAUUUUGGGUAUUCAACAAAUGUUUGUCCCACAUGCAAAGCGAUGGUGGUUGUCCUCUCGCACCCACUUAAGCGGUUAUCAGCGAUAUCGAUGCUUUCCAUCUGUAAGCCCUCUUGGUCCAUCACUACUUUUUGCCUGACAACAAGAGAGGUUAAUUUGACUUAGGAGGGGAUUAUUUUUUUGUUUGUAAUACAGUAUAUAUAUAGGUCAUGCUCUGGGAUGACAUGAUACAGUUUGAGCACACACACAUGGAUGUGUACGCAUGAAUCCCUCCCAUCGAGUCGAAGUGGCUAGUACAACGACACGUCAUGAACCGAUCUCGCUCUCUGUGGGAACUGUAUGAUUUUCGACGCACGCGCCACAUCAAUGUUGUGAAAUGGUAUUCAAACAUGCAUGCACGCAUCACCUCCAUACAUAUGCAUUUAGUGGUUGUCUUCGAAUGGUGCAGUCCCUCGCGUGGUUAUCGGUGACAAGCCUAUAUAUUCGUGAGCCCGCGUGGACAUCCAUGAUCACCUUGACCGACAACAAGAUAGGUUACCAUGGCGGAUUCUUCCUUUGGUUUGUGUUAUCGUACUAUAGGUCAUGGUGAGAUUCAAACCUACUUAAGUUUGAGCGCAUAUACUAUGCCCGUAUGCAUGCAUGAAUCCCCAUCGUCGGCUUGAAGUGUGGUGUGACAUACAUAUGCAUCGUCAACCUAACCCUCACUCAGUGUGGGGAUUUCUAGUUCGAAAGCACGGUGCCACAUCAAAGUUGUUCCAUUGUGUAUUCAAAAACACACCUCUCCAUACAUAUGUUUGGGCCACACGCAUGCAGUGGUUGUUUUCGGGGACUAGCUACUUGCGUGAUUAUUGGCGAGCUAGCCCAUCUCCGGGGUCGCAUGGACGGCCAUCACUUUGACCAACAAUAAUAGAGAGGUUGUACGACCAAGGUGGAUUAUUCUUGGUCCGUUUUAUGAUCCAUCUUGGUGAGAUGCCUCUCUGGCCCGCCGACUGAAAGUGGGUGUGUGGGGGGCUGCUACUUCGCACUUUGCUAGGUGAACCUCGGUUGGGGGGCAUGCGUUCAUAGCUUAGGAUUCCCUUCGUGCCGACACGAGGGGGGCAAGCAAUAUCGCGCGCUUUACGAGAUAGGUGCCACAUCGAAGUUGCAUUUGGUUUUUGAACAUCAAACCACCCUUUUCAUACAUAUAUUUGGUCCACAUGCAAGUGUGUUCAUGUUUUGACCCUCUCCCGCGUCAUUUUUUUGCCAAAUUUAUGAACAUUAGACAAGUCGGAUGACGCAACAGAGACGGUUCACUCAAACUAACCGUGUGCCACGCCGGUGCCCCUGUCACGCACAUCCGCACAGUAUAUUGGGCUCCACGAGGCUUCUCCUCAAAAAUAUCUACCCGCCUACAGCUUUUUUCUGUUUGAUAACACACAGUUAUUAUGUUUCGACUGUAUCUGAUGUUUCUUGUUCCCAAUCUCGCCUGCAUCCCUCGAAAAUAUCUUCCCGCCUCGAGGGUUUCUCUAUUUCAUAACACACGGUUGUUAUCUCCGGACCGUGUGCGAUGCACCAUCAUCAAAAUUUUCAAUAGCCCCGGCAUUUCACUCCUGCGUUUGACUCCAGCGUAGUAAAAUUUUCGGUACCCGCAUCAUUUCCUCAAACACACCCCCACCCCCCUCCACACACACACACACCAAAACCUCCUCAGGCGCGCGCACACACACACACACUUCCUCGCUCGAAACCAUAGCAAGGUCCCCGCCGCCGCCGCAAGGCCUCUAUUGUCAACAUCUGCUGGUUUGCCCGUGCAGCUUGUCCACCGAUCUCCAUACCCAGGACGCCUUGAGUUUCUUAGAUGACACCUGCCAAAUGCCCCUUUCCCACAGAUCUCCAUCCCCACCCCCCACUCCAGAGCGCCGCAGCCUAAGCCCGGCUAUGCUUCCCGUGGAGCUCGAAGAGCGACUGGCCCAAAAGAGGUGUAUCACGGUCUCUUCGCCUGAUGUUGCCGGCUAUGACGCAGGCACUCAAUCAGCGGGCUAGAGUAUGCGGGUAUGUCGCAGAAGCCGGCUAUGACAUCGACGUCGUCGACAGCGACGGCCUGAGGCGGGCCAUGUCACAAGUUAAGUGGUCCACCCCCAACCCCUUGGGUUCAACCGCCAUCGAUCUCAUCCAUGGCCCCGCCACUGAUCUCCUCUGGCUCGCUCUCAAGAAUUUGCCAUCCUACAUCGCCAUUGAGCCCCUUUUGUCAUUUCGGAGGGACACGUUCUGCGACGCUGGCUUGGGAUCCACAGCUUCCAAGUCAGACCUCAUCGACUACGACCACAAGGAGGGCACCCUCUCCGGCUCUUCCAAGGGGAAAGAGCCCAUCUCCUCUUCCAAGGGGAAAGAGCCCGUCUGCGACAUCAGGGAGGGCACCCUACAGCUAUGCUCUUCCAAGGGGAAGGAUCCCAUCAGCGACAACAUGGAGCGCAUCCAGGGUUCGUGCUCUUCCCAUGGAAACGAGCCCAUCUGUGACAAUUGAGGAAACCCAUGCUUUGUUUUCCUGUGCCUCUUCACAGGGGGAAACCCAUGAUUUGUUUUGUCGAGUCCCUUUUGUAGUGUAGUGAGAAUAUGUCUAGUUUUAAUUGCUAUAUUUGGUUGUUUGCAGUAUGCCUUGUUUAUUUUAGUUGUUCACAAUGUGAUGCUCUAUAUGUGCAAUUAUUUACUGUGCAGUACAUUUCAUCAAUCCAGUUUUAAACAUACCGAUAGGAAUGCAUAUAUUUGUUUGUUGUUAAGCCUAUUAUAGCUAGCAUAUGCCUAUUUUAAAGUUUUUUAAUUGUUCGGUUGUUUGUAGUUAGCAUAUGUCCAGUUUCAAAUGCUAUCUUUGGUUGUUUGUAGUAUGCCUUGUUUAUUCCAGUUAUUCACAACGUGAUGUUCUAUAUGUGCAAGUAUAAACUAUGCAGUUCAAUUUCAUCAAUACCAAUUUCAAUAAUACCAUGAUGAAUGACUACAUUUGGUUGUUGCAUCUUGUAGUUAACACGCCUUUUCAUUUUUAUUUAACAAUAACCAGUGUACUUAGACUGGUACAAUACCAUUUUGAAUGACUAUGUUUGCUUGUUGUUAAAUGUUAGGCAUGUUGCAGUUCCACUUGUUUUGCUUUACUAGCAUCCUUAAAUCUGCACACUGAAGCUAUCUUUUGGAGAUCAUUUUGUCUGCCAUGGAUAAUUUUGGUUGAUGUUUAGCCUGUUGUGCUUAACAUGCCUCUCGAUGUACCUACACAGGACAAUUUUGGGAACGACUGAUGUUUUCCAUCGAGGUUUGUUUCAUCCCAUGGCUUAUAUAUACUCACUGUUCAAGAUAUCGGUAGCUGCUACCAUAUAGGCCAGGGGCUGAUAAGGGACUAAUCGGUGAAUCGGACUUUUAACUCAAUAUAUCAGUAACCCAUUUAUUGUUAGGUUAACUAGAGCCAUAUGUAAUAUAUCUGAGGCUACAUAGCAACAUGCACUGUACUUAAUGUCUAAAUAUGCAAUCCUAGGCUACAUAGAAACAAGGAAGAGUGUUACAGCAACAACAGCAACAGCAACAACAACGACACCAACAACAGCAACAACAACAGCAACAACAGCAACAACNNNNNNNNNNNNAACGACAACAACAACAACAACAACGACAACAACAACAACAACAACAACAACAACAACAACAACAACAACAACAACAACAACAACAACAACAACAACAACAACAACAACAACAACAACAACAACAACAACAACAACAACAACAACAACAACAACAACAACAACAACAACAACAACAACAACAACAACAACAACAACAACAACAACAACAACAAUUGUUGUU
rnacentral:lncRNA from 1 species